UACGUAGGGUGCAAGCGUUAAUCGGAAUUACUGGGCGUAAAGCGUGCGCAGGCGGCUUUGCAAGACAGAUGUGAAAUCCCCGGGCUUAACCUGGGAACUGCAUUUGUGACUGCAUGGCUAGAGUGCGGCAGAGGGGGAUGGAAUUCCGCGUGUAGCAGUAAAAUGCGUAGAUAUGCGGAGGAACACCGAUGGCGAAGGCAAUUCCCUGGGCCUGCACUGACGCUCAUGCACGAAAGCGUGGGGAGCAAACAGG
rnacentral:rRNA from 1 species